CGGGCCGUCCGCGCCGCCCGCGUCGCCCAGUGCGUGCUGGAGAGAGGGCGAGUGCACUUGUGUCCGGUCAGCUCGUGGCGUUUGUGAGUCCCAGAGAGGUUCAGCAGUUAUUUUCAAGGAUCUUCGCACGUGUAAUGGGACUGAGCGAUUGGCGCCCUUUUGUAUACGGGGGCGUAUCUGCCUGCAUAGCAGAGUUUGGGACGUUUCCCAUCGACACCACCAAGACUCGGCUGCAGAUCCAGGGAGCCCGCAGCGAUGGGGGCCAGAUUGUUGCCAAGCGAUACAAGGGCAUGAUCCAUGCUCUUCUCAAGAUAUCGAGUGAGGAAGGCGUCAGGGCACUGUAUUUUGGUAUUGCUCCAGCUGUCCUCCGUCAGGCAACAUAUGGAACCAUCAAAUUUGGCAUUUAUUAUUCCCUGAAGCAGAUGUUGACAAAAAAUCCCAAUGAAGAGAGAUUGGGCAUCAACGUUUUUUGUGCAGUCACUGCAGGUGUGGUGUCAAGUGCUAUGGCCAACCCCACAGACGUCCUGAAAGUCAGGUUACAGAGUGGGCGUUCCGACUUCAAGGAGAAGUCUCUCCUUCAGGCAUUUAUUAGUAUUUAUAACCAGGAGGGAAUACAGGGCCUAUGGAGGGGAGUUUGCCCGACGGCGCAGAGAGCAGGGGUUAUCGUGGGAGUAGAGCUGCCAAUUUACGACAUGUGCAAACACUAUUUCAUCAAGAUGAACUUGCUGCCAGAUAAUUCUACAAACCAUUUCUUAUGUUUCGCAAACGCAUGUCCGGGAUGAAUCUAGGGUCCUUCGGGCCCUGGCAACGGAUCCCAAAUCCCCGGUCCCAGACCACUAACCCGGCAUGGGUCCCCAGUCCUGUGGGACUGUGGGGCCCUGAGCUGAGGAACCGCCAUGAUUCUCGGGAGUGACUUGUCCCAUGUAACGUUGAUAACCUGACCUGUAUUGUACCAACCUCAUCAUUAGUGCCUCACCACCACAUCCAUUGCCUCCAUAAUCAAAUUACACUGUAUAUUGCUUCUCUUCUCUGGACUUCUUGACUCUAGUUAGCUGUGUCUUGCUCUUCCCCAAGUGUACUUCUUGACAAUAUUUGAUCUUAUAAUCUUUUGAAGAUGCUAAGAAAUACGUGCUAACUCUCUCUUUCUCUACAUUGUUUAAUGUGUUUAUUUUUGCGUCAAUUGUUCUUAGCUCGUAUGGCCAAUGAUGGAAGUGUGUUUUGUCUCUCCUUGAUUACUUGAUAUUGAAAGGAAUCAAUCCAGACUCUACAUCAUAUAUUUCUAAAUUAAAGUUAGCUUAAGACCUCCUUGUGAACCCUUACUGCAGUAUUUCAUAGAUUUUUAAGGAGCUGAAUUUGUGUGUGUAGUUGCAUCAUUCAUAUGACUGAUAAAAAUUUUACUGAACUCUGCCUUUUCUUUUACUUGCGUGAGAUGUAGAUGGAUUUUUUGUUUUCUUUUUUCAUACAUCAACAAGCUGAUUUAUUUUUUCUUCAUCAUUCUCUUCAUCUUUCAUAUCAUCAUCAUAAUCAUAAUGAGAAUUAAAUUAUAAAUCUGAUAUGGAAAAUAAAAAAAACAACAACAACAACAAAAAAAGGAAAUGAAUUGUUCAAUUGGCUGUUUAUUGUUUGUCUUUGAUACAAACAUCUCACUGGCUGAUUUAUAUUUAUCUUUAAGUUUCUUAUGCAAAUGCUCUUUUCCUUUAUUUAUACUUUUUUUCCACUGGAAAGUCUACAGUAUGUCACCAUAAUAAUUGCUGAAACUCCUGCUUAUGGAAAAUGUCAUUUGAAUAUGCAAAUAACCAUACUAUGCAAUGAAUGGAAGGUCUUUACACAUUUAUUGCAUAUAUAUAUGUCUAUUUACAUAUAUGUAUAUAUAUGCAGUAUGAAAGAGCAUGUUGUCACUGAAACUUUUAUAAAUUUUCUCAAGCCAAGUUAAAUGCAUGCUAUAGGCACAGUUUAUUUCUUUCCAUUGUUAAUCAGACAGUGAGAAGUCAAAUAAAACUCAUAUAUGGAUAUCUACAACUAAGGAAAGCACAUGUAUGAAAAGGAAAAAUAUGGAAGGCAAAGGAAAUACCUCUAAGAUAUGCAAAUACUUUCAUGUAUGAGGAAUAAACGAGGGAGUUUACCUGUGUGUAAUUCCCUCCAUUUUCUUUCAUGACAGAUCGAGCUUCAUAUCUAGCCUGGGGGGUGCAGUUGCAUCAACGCCACUGGACGUCGUGAGGACACGCCUGAUGAACCAAAGAAAACUUAAAGCUCCAGCCGCAGUAAGUGGCAAUGGUGCUGUUUGUACGUCCCCGGUGUAUGCUAGUAC